rnacentral:lncRNA from 1 species
GGCCGGGGCCGCUGGCUGCACUCAGCGCCGGAGCCGGGAGCUAGCGGCCGCCGCCAUGUCCCACCAGACCGGCAUCCAAGAGCAACUUGUGAUUGGAUCAUAUAGUCAGCCUUCAGAUUCCUGGGAUAAGGAUUAUGAUUCCUUUGUUUUACCCCUGUUGGAGGACAAACAACCAUGCUAUAUAUUAUUCAGGUUAGAUUCUCAGAAUGCCCAGGGAUAUGAAUGGAUAUUCAUUGCAUGGUCUCCAGAUCAUUCUCAUGUUCGUCAAAAAAUGUUGUAUGCAGCAACAAGAGCAACUCUGAAGAAGGAAUUUGGAGGUGGCCACAUUAAAGAUGAAGUAUUUGGAACAGUAAAGGAAGAUGUAUCAUUACAUGGAUAUAAAAAAUACUUGCUGUC